AUGGACAUUCACAGUUUCUAGAUUUGACGUUUCAUUCUUUCAAAUAUCACCCAAAUUUUUUGUAAAAUGCAAAGUAUUUUCCCAUUCGCUAGUUAACAAUUAUUCAAUUAAAUAAAUGACGAAUAAGCAGCAUAUCGGAAUGUUCAAAUACACUUAGGAAUGAAAUGAAAUAACCGCCAGAGAACUUUUCAUGACUUUUAUAUUAAAAGAGGUUUAAAUGUGAGGUUGCUUUCACAAAAUAUUUGGUAUUUCGUUGUAUUUAAUUACAACUUACCAAACGACAUUUAGGAGUCCUUUUCAUGAGCCUUCAUGAUAAUAACAUUUCCAUUUUAUCGCGCAAUAAAACAAUUACCAAAUUUAGUUAAUUUAAAGAAUUAACAAUUCAUAAUCCCAUUAAUUACUAAAUAAAAACUUAGAUUCGGGUGUAAUAUGUACCCCACAGUUGCUCAAAAAGCUUCUUUAUACAAAUAAUAUGCAGAUUAUGAGCUAUUUUCGUUCAUCUAAUUUAAUCAU